rnacentral:rRNA from 1 species
GGACUACGGGGGUAUCUAAUCCCUUUCGCGCCCCUAGCCUUCAUCCCUUACUGUCAGAACUGUCCUCGUAAGAUGCCUUCGCUGUUGUUAGUCCGUCUGGGAUUAACACAUUUUACCGCUACUCCAAACGUACUUCUUACGUCUUCCAGUCUCUAGCUUAACAGUACUUCUUGCCCGCUCCAUAUUUAAGACAUGGAAUUUCACAAGAAACUUACUAAGCAAGCUACGGAUGUUUUAGACCCAAUAAUAAUGGCUGCGACUUGGACCGCGGGUAUUACCGCGGCGGCUGGCACCCGUCUUACCCAGUCCUUAUUCGCCAAACUUUUUACAUUUGGCAAAAGCUUUUCAUAUGAAAAGCACUCUGACUCAAUCUGUCACGCUUGCGCGCAUUGCAGAAGAUUCCCCACUGCUGCCCCCCGUAGG